rnacentral:rRNA from 1 species
UACGAAGGGGGCUAGCGUUGCUCGGAAUCACUGGGCGUAAAGGGUGCGUAGGCGGGUCUUUAAGUCAGGGGUGAAAUCCUGGAGCUCAACUCCAGAACUGCCUUUGAUACUGGCGAUCUUGAGUCCGGGAGAGGUGAGUGGAACUGCGAGUGUAGAGGUGAAAUUCGUAGAUAUUCGCAAGAACACCAGUGGCGAAGGCGGCUCACUGGCCCGGUACUGACGCUGAGGUGCGAAAGCGUGGGGAGCAAACAGG